GUACCAACCAGGUCUCUCUGCUGCUGGUGUCUCCUCUGAGCUCUUUUGGGAUUCAUCUCCAGUGUUGCGAACUUGGACGUUCCCUCCUGAGGAACCACAUCAUCACACAAACGGAUCAUUUCGCAUUGUCCGCAUACAUGUCCUGCCACCCGAGGGGCGCGGGUUUGAUGCUGCAGGGAACCUCACCUUCACCAGCAGCUCCCGGCUGAGCGAGUAGUUGUUGUCAUCUGAGAAGAUCUCGGAAAGCUCGCGGAAAGUCCGGAAACUCUCCCUGUGAUUACACAACGGGUUUAAAAGCGGUGGACGGCGUUGCACUGCAGGGCGGAGAGGAUGGCUCGCAAGGAUGAGAAGUUCUUCAGGAUACGACACUCCUGAAGGCAACACGGAGGAUGACGGCGUUAAUUCAAAUCUCAGCAAAGUGCUCGCACACCAACGCAACACUUUAAAUAUGGGUUAGGAUUUUGAAUUAUGGUUUGAAGGCUAGGUUAAAGUUAGGCAAGGUUUUCAAAUAGGAUUUUGAACAGGGGUUAGGGUUUGAAAUUAGGGAUAGGGUUUGAAGCUUAGGUAAGAAUUCCAAGUUUAGGUUAGGUUUUCAAACAAUUGUUAUGGUUUUAAAGUAGGGUUUCAAGCCAAGUUUAGGGUUUCAAGUUGGGUUUCAAACAAGGGUUAGGGUUCCUAGCCAGUGUUGGGGUUUAAAAAUAGAGUUUGAAUCCCGGGUUAGGGUUUCAAACAAGGGUUAAGGUUUGAAAUUAGUAUUUCAAACAAGGGUGAAGGUUUCUAAUUAAGGUGGUCAGGCAAGGUUUAGGUUUCCAAGCCAGCGUUUAGGGUUUUGAAUUAGGGUUUAAAGCCUGGGUUAGUGUUUCAAUCCCAGGUUAGGGUUUUUAAAAAGGGUUUGGGUUUUAGAUUAAGGGUUUCAAGCCUGUUUCAAAGUUGUAGUGGCAUUCAGGUUUCAAAUUAGGGUUUUAACUUUCAAGCCUGUGCUAACAAUGGUUUGGACUUCAAAUUAGGCUUUCAAGCCUGUGUUAGGGUUUUAAACAAGGGUUUGGGUUUCCAAUUAGGGUUUUAACUUUCAAGCCCGUGCUAGGGUUUUAAACAAUGGUUUGCACUUCAAAUUAGGCUUUCAAGCCUGUGUUAGGGUUUUAAACAAGGGUUUGGGUUUCCAAUUAGGGUUUCAAGUCAGGGUUAGGGUUUUAAAUUUGGGUUAAAACCCAGGGUUAGGGUUUCUAGGCAGUGUUGGGGUUUCAAGUUCAGGUUUCAAACCUGGGUUACGGUUUCAAAUUAUGGUUUCAAACAAGGGCUUAAGGUUACGAGUCUGCGUUAGGGUUUCAAACAGGUUUAAAUAUAUUGUCUUAAUCAUGGGUUAGGGUUGCAAAUUGAGGUUUUUAACAUGGAUUUGGGUUUUAAAGCAGGGUUAGGGUAUCAGUUUAAGGUUUCAAGCCAGUGCAAGAGUUUCAAGUCUGGAUUUCAAGUUAGAGUUUCAACCCUGUGGUAGGGUUGUAAACAAGGCUUAGUGUUUCAAAGAAGGGUUUUAUGCCUGCGGUUAGGUUUUCAAGGCUGUAUUAUGGUUUCA